UAUGUGGUGUCUGGCAGUGUUUCAGAUGGCGACAUAACUAAAUUGAGGU
rfam:Moritella viscosa genome assembly, chromosome: 1